GAUGAACGCUGGCGGCGUGCCUAAUACAUGCAAGUCGAGCGAACAGACGAGGAGCUUGCUCCUCUGACGUUAGCGGCGGACGGGUGAGUAACACGUGGAUAACCUACCUAUAAGACUGGGAUAACUUCGGGAAACCGGAGCUAAUACCGGAUAACAUGUUGAACCGCAUGGUUCAACAGUGAAAGACGGUCUUGCUGUCACUUAUAGAUGGAUCCGCGCCGCAUUAGCUAGUUGGUAAGGUAACGGCUUACCACGGCAACGAUGCGUAGCCGACCUGAGAGGGUGAUCGGCCACCCUGGAACUGAGACACGGUCCAGACUCCUACGGGAGGCAGCAGUAGGGAAUCCUCCGCAAUGGGCGAAAGCCUGACGGAGCAACGCCGCGUGAGUGAAGAAGGUCUUCGGAUCGUAAAACUCUGUUAUUAGGGAAGAACAAAUGUGUAAGUAACUAUGCACGUCUUGACGGUACCUAAUCAGAAAGCCACGGCUAACUACGUG
rnacentral:rRNA from 1 species